rnacentral:pre_miRNA from 1 species
CAAAUACUCCCUCCGUCUGGAAAUACUUGUCAUCAAAAUGGAUAAAAGGAAAUGUAUCUAGACAUAUUUUAGUUUUAGAUACAUCUCUUUUUAUCCAUUUUGAUGACAAGUAUUUUCGGACAGAGGGAGUAGAAA